rnacentral:tRNA from 1 species
GGGUGUAGCUCAAGUGGUAGAGCUGCAUGCUUAGCAUGCAGGAGGUCCUGGGUUCAAACCCCAGUAUAUCCG